rnacentral:lncRNA from 1 species
GAUAAAAUUCACUCAACUCUCGAGUAUUUAGGUUGAUUGUUUACACUCAAAGCACAACAUGAAAAUUANACCCGACGAAGAAUCGGGAACAACUGUCCUCUAAUAUAAUCGAGUACUCAACAUAAGGUCUCUUCAACUCACAUUUAACUCACUCAAUGGAUAGAGGUGAUCUCUCAAUCAGCAUGAAAAAUUCAUUAUGCUUAGCUUGACCAUGUUCUAAUAGAGUUUCAUUACAGAAAUCACAACACACACAUUAUAGGUCUUUUCAAGUUGUAACUUGGUUUAUGUUUGGGAAUGAUAUUUUUUAAAAAUGUAGGUUUAAAAUAUUUGGAGUUAGGCUGUCUAGUUCUCCUGUCUAUUCAUCAUACCUCUUUAUUCCUUUUUUACAGCCGGUACUAGAGAUUUUGGUCUUCUUAUACUACCAUUCUUUUCUUUCUCAUUUUUUUUAGAAGUAUCUUUUCCUUUUUUCUCAAGAAAAUUUUUUGGCCAAUAUUCUUCUAGAUACCCCAGCCGAAAACUUAAAAUUUUGCUCACAUCAAGAGCAACCCAGAACUUAAUCUUUUCAUACACUUUUAUGAAAAUACUUUCUACUGUAACUCCAAGAGAGGGUUGAGAGAAAAGAUCUUUCAAGUCAGAUGGCUAACGAAUUUUAGGCGCACAUCACUAAAAAGGUCAUAAGCUCAAAGUGAUUUAGCAAUGAUAUAUCUAUUACUACAUUUAGUUUAAAAGACUCAAAAGUUAUUAAAACAACUGCCUCAGUGUGUGUCUCAGUCAAACCUAGGAUAAACUUAAUCGAAAAUAGAUCAAACCAGAUAAAAUAAUAAUGCAUAAGGAAAGUGAAACAAUGGAAUUAUGGCUCAAACCUUACUAGAUGAGGUAUCUAUAGGUUGAGUACAAGUUUGUUGAUUCUUUUCUCAUUCAUUCACCUUCAAGUUGCUAGUUGAUAUUGUGAUGAUCAAAUGUCUUUGUAUCACCUGUUCAAUGCUAAAGCGACUAAACUUGCAAAUUAUAAAAAAAACACAGCUACAACGCUUGUUUAUUAAACCAAAAAUAGAUCGUCGUGGAAGGGUUAUGAUUUGUCGCUCAUUCCUAUUUUUGAUAGUCUUGAAUAAGAUAAAAGUAAUAUUCUGCAAAACAUAAAAUUGAUUAUAAAAUGAUGGGUUGCCUCUCAUCCAACGUUGUAUUUCUCUGUCAUUUAGCUUGAAUUUCUCAAUGCUUAAAACAAUCAGGCGCAAGGGAUACCCUCACGCCGGUGAAAACUCCUAAUAUCAUUCCUUUUUGAACUUUACUACCUUUUUCUUCCAAUUGUGUAGCAUGUCUAUAGAUCCUCCAGAUGCGGAUGUCUGAUCCGUUGGUCGCAAUACGUGUUAAAAAACGAGUAAAUAACUGUUAGUUAGGGAGUGACACUCGCAGUCGUAUCGCCAAGGAACUCUCGGCAGAAUUAACCAAUUAAGGAAACUAAUACAUUGGGUUUUAGAUUCGAUUUGAAGAAAUAGGGAAACUAGGUGAUUUAUAAAAUCAACUAAAACGAGUAAUUUACUCUUUAUUUCCCAAAUUUAUCAUCCGGUAAUAUAAAAUUCAAAAGCUCGUAAGGCGAAUUCUAAUCCCCUUUCAAUUACAAUUAUCAAUUAACAAGCGAACAUUGACAUAUGGAAUUUACACUUCUUAUUAUUCGAAUGAAGGCAAACAGCUUCAACACUCACGAAUUAAGCAAAUGUGAUUUCAACAUACACAAUUUAACGGGUUAAAGCAAUAUUAAAACACUGAUACAAAUCAAGGAACAUUAAACUAAUCGGAAUAAAUCAAUAUGGAAUAUAUAUAAUUCGAAUUAAGCAUAUAAAAUUAUAGAGAAUAUUGAAAGGAAAGAGAAUUUGAUUGAAAUAAUUAAAACCUCAAGUAUUGGUGGAAACAUGAAUCAAUAGGUCAAUGCUUGGUUGAUUAGUUUCUCCAUGCAGUAUCGUGAAAAUUCAUUAAUAAUACUAAUUAGCAGUAAUUGUUUAUCAUAUACAAAAGGUAAAUUCGGAACCCUUAUGGAACCGACCCAAAAAAAUUACAAAAACGGCUCAAUUACUAACUAUUUUAAUUAAUGUUUGAACUUCAAUGAAUUAUUCGACUUGUCUUCUACUCUGUAAUCAUCUUUUUACGAUCAACAUGAAGAAAUUGGUAGCAUUUUCAUGUAAACUUCCAAACACAUUACCAGACGUGUGCAAUCGAUCUCAAUUCUUGAAGCUCCGUUUAUGAUAAGGCAUAGUGCAAAAGGUUACCAAUAUAAUUAAUAUUAAGCUGAAAAAUAAAGGUACAAAAAUAUAAAAUAAAGAUCAGAAGAAAACUAUAAAUAUUAAAAACAGCGGUAAAUUUAAAAACAAAUAUGAGUAAACUAAUAGAUUUGCCUUAAGUUAAAUACUUAAGAAAAAGUGCCAUCAAAAUGUGCGCUGAUCCAAAAUUUUCCCCCACACUUGGAACUUUUUGCAUCCGAGCAAAAUAUAUUAAGUCAAAACACGAGAGUUAUGGCAAUAUCCAAAAAGUUCUCAUAAAGACAAGGUGGAAGCAAAAUAUCUAUUUCUUAAGUGCUAUCAAUAACUAUAGGCGAUAGUGAGCAACUUAAUUGUGACAUGUCAAAGCAGAUAAAAGUGGUAGUUGACCGGGAGUUACAUCAUAAAGCAUAAAGGCAUCCUCAUAAAGAUUAAAAUUUCACUUCAACUCUCGAGUAUUUAGUGCAUUGUUACACUCAAAGCACAACAUGAAAAAAUUAACAUGAACAAAAAAGAUCAAAAUACUUUUAUUUGGUUGUAACUUGGGUCAGCGGUACGGGUGAGAUAAAAUCCUAGGGGUACUAGGCUUUAAAAUUCAAAGGUGUCAAAAAGAAAUUGAAAAUAGACGCCGGGGAGUUGAACUAUAUAUUUCAACUUUUUCAAACAACAAUUUCCAUUUUAUCUUUUCUCUUUUCUCUUUUUCUUUUAUAUUUACCUUUACUUCUUUAUUUUUCUUCAGAAGGAAUACAAAUUAAGGACGAGAGUUUUCUUCCUUCUUCCUUCUUUCUUUUCUUAUUUUUUUAAUGCCAAACCUUGAAACAUCACAGCUAUAUAAAUGCUUAUUCAACCCCCACACAACUCCAACAAGCUCUUUUAACCCUUUAAAUAAGGAGAUAAUUUUUUUUUCACUUUAUGACUUAUAAUGAGUUUAAAUAAAGAAUGAUAUAAAUAGACUCAAUGGAUUUUAAAAAAGGGAUGAUAUCAUUCAUAGUUGCCUUUUUUGGCUAAGUGGCUAAAAGUAAAACAAAAACAAGUUGUCUUUAUCAUAUCAGUGUGCACAAGUAAUCAACAGUUUUAAAAAGAGUCAAUUCAAGUUUUAAGGACUAACAGACAUGAAUGAAAUCACACAAGAAAGAAUGAGAUGGAUUUUUUUAUUGUUAUCCAUCAAAAGGCUCAAAAUAUCACAAGGUUAUUGAUCUACCAAAAUUGAUGCACAAUUAAGCAUUUUUUAGUCUUACUUAUCAUACUAAGAACAUAAAAAAAAUCAAUCACUUCACACCAUAAUUCUUUAAUCAAUAGAACAGAGAAAAUACUCAUAAUUGUAACUCAAAAACCAAAGAAAAAGCAUGCAUUUAUUUUAUUUUUUUUAUGUAAGAAAANGUGAUUAUAAAAUCAACUAAAACGAGUUAAUUUACUUCUUGAAUUUCCAAAUUAUCACCGCGUAAUUAAAAAUUUCAAAACCUCUAAGCGAAUUCUAAUCCCCUUUCAAUUACAAAUCAAUUAACAAUGCCGAAAUUGACACUAUGAAUUUACACUUCUAUUAUUGAAUGAAGCAAACAGAUUCAAACACGCACGAAUUAAGCAAAUGUGAAUUCAACAUACACAAUUUUUGACGGUUUUUUAAAGCAAUAUUUAAACCGAUACAAAUCAAGCGAACAUUAACAAUCGAAUACAAUCAUAUGAAGUAUAUUGAAUUCGAAUUUAAGCAUAUAAAAUAAUAGAAAAUAUUGAAGGAAGAGGAAUUUGCCAUUGAAAAUAGAUAAAACCUCAAAGUAAUUGGUGGAAACAGAAUCAAUAGGUCAAUGCCUUGGUGAUUAGUUCUCCAUGCAAGUAUCGUUGAAAAUUCAUAAUAAUACUAAUUUAGCAGAUAAAUUUUAUCAGUAUAACAAAACGAAAUCGGACCUUAUGGAAAACCGACCCAAAAAAUUACAAAAAAAGGCUCAAACUUAACUAGUUUAAUUAAGUUUGGAACUUCAAUGAAUUAUUCGACUUCCUUCACUCUUGAAUCAUCUUUUUACUUCAACAAGAAACUUGGAGCAUUUUCUGUUAACUUUCACAACACAUACCCAGAAACGUGUCAAUCUAAUUCUUGAAGCUUCAAUGUUAAUGAUAAGCAUAGUUGAAAAGGUACCAAUAAGUAAUUAUUAACUGAAAAUAAAGAAAAAAAUAAAAAAAGUCAGAAAUAAAACUUAAUAAAAAACAACACAGCUAAAUAAUUAAAAACAAAUAGAGUAAACUAUAGAUUUGCCUAAGUGUAAUACUAGAAAAAGUGCAUCAAAAUGCCACUGCAUCAAAAUUUCCCACACUUUGAACUUUUGCACUCCGAAGCAAAAUUAUAAAGUCAAAAACAGAGUAUGCAAUUCCAAAGUCUCAUAAGACAAAGUUGGGGGACAGCAAAAAUUCUAUUGCUAAGCUUCAAUUAAUAUAGCGAUAGUGAGCAACUAAUUGUGACAGUCCAAAGCAGAUAAAAGGAGUUACCAGGCGAGUACAUCAUAAGCAAUAAGAUCCUAUAUAGAUAAAAAUCGUCACUCAAACUCUCGAGACGUAUUUAGGUUUGAUUGGUUUACCACUCAAGCACAAACAUGAAAAUUAACAUGAACAAAAAGAUCAAAAUUACUUUUAUUUGGUUGUAAACUUGGUCAGGCGUACGGUGAGAUAAAUCCUAGUGCGGUUACUAGGCUAAAAUUCAAAGCGUCAAAAGAAAAUUGAAAAAGACGCACGGGAGCUGAACUAAAUAUAUCUCUACCUUUCACAACAACACGUGUUUCCAUGUUCUAUCUUUUCUUCUUUUUCUUUUUCUUUUAUUUUACUUUUUUUUCUUUCAGAAGGAAUACAGAUAAAGACCGCAGAGUUUUCGUCCUUCUUCUUUUCUUAUUUUUUUAAUGCCAAACUUGAUACAUUCACAAGCUAUAUAAAUGCUUAUUCAAACCCCCACACAACUCCACAAGCUCUUUAACCUUUUUAAAUUAAGGAAUAAUUUUUUUUUCACUUUAUGACUUAGAACUGAGUUUAAAUAAAGAAUGACUAUAAAUAGACUCAAUGGGAAUUUAAAAAAAGGUAUAUCAUUCAUAGUGCCUUUUUUCGCUAAGUGGCUAAAUAGGUAAAACAAAAAACAAGUUUCUUAUCAUAUCAGCUGUGCACAAGUAAUCAACAGUUUAAAAGGUCAAUUCAAGUUUUAAGUGACUAACAGACAUGAAUGAUCACAACAAGAAAAGAAUAGAUGGAUUUUUUUAUUGUAUCCAUCAAAAGGCUCAAACAAUAUCACAAGGUUAUGAUCUACCAAAAUUUGAGCCACAAUUAAGAUUUUUUAGGCUUACUAUUCAUACUAAGAACAUAAAAAAAAAUCAAUCACUUCCACACCAUAAUUCUUUAAUCAAUAGACAGAGAAAAUACUCAGAAUUGAACUCAAAAACAAAGACAAAAGCAUGCAUUUAUUUUAUUUUUUAUGCUAAGAAAAACAAACAAAAACAAUGAAAAUAUAAAACAAAGUAAAAUGGCUCCUCAGAAGACAAAGUGGAAGCAAAUUCUAUUCUAAGUUGUAAUAAUAUAGCGUUAUUGAGCAAACUAAUUGUUGCACGUCAAAAAACAAUAAAAGGAUAGUUUACCAGCGGAGUACUCAAAGCAAUAAGAUCCUCAUAAGAUAAUAUUCACUCAAAUCUCGAGUAUUUAGGUUGAUUGUUUUACACUCACAGCCACAACAUGAAAAUUAACAUGACACUAAAGAUCAAAUGACUUUAUUUGGUUGUUAAACUUCGUCAGGGUACGGUGAGUAAAAUCCUAGGAGGGUUACUAGGCUAAAAUUCAAAGGCGUCAAAAAGAAAAUUGAAAAUAGACGCGGAGUUGAACAAAAUAUAUUCCAUUCACUUUCAAACAAACACUUUCCAUUUGUUUUUGCCUUUUCUCCUUUUUCUUUCAUUUACUUUUUGUCUUCAGAAGAAUACAAUAAGGACGAGAGUUUUCUUCCUUCUUUCUUUUCUUAUUUUUUUAAUGCCAAACCUUGAAACAUCACAGCUAUAUAAAUGCUUAUUCAACCCCCACACAACUCCAACAAGCUCUUUUAACCCUUUAAAUAAGAAGAUAAAAUUUUUUCACUUUAUGACUUGUAAUGAUUUUAAAUAAAGAAUGAUAUAAAUAGACUCAAUGGAUUUUCAAACAAGGGAUGAUAUCAUUCAUAGUUGCCUUUUUGGCUAAGUGGCUAAAAGUAAAACAAAAACAAGUUGUUUUUAUCAUAUCAGUGUGCACGAGAAAUCAACAGUUUUAAAAAGAGUCAAUUCAAGUUUUAGAGACUAACAGACAUGAAUGAAAUCACAAAAGAAAGAAAGAGAUGGAUUUUUUUAUUGUUAUCCAUCAAAAGGCUCAAAAUAUCACAAGGUUAUUGAUCUACCACAAUUGAUGCACAAUUAAGCAUUUAGUCUUACUUAUCAUACUAAGAACAUAAAAAAAAUCAAUCACUUCACACCAUAAUUCUUUAAUCAAUAGAACAGAGAAAAUACUCAUAAUUGUAACUCAAAAACCAAAGAAAAAGCAUGCAUUUAACUUCACACCAUAAUUCUUUAAUCAAUAGAACAGAGAAAAUACUCAUAAUUGUAACUCAAAAACCAAAGAAAAAGCAUGCAUUUAUUUUAUUUUUUUUAUGUAAGAAAACAAACAAAAACAAAGAAAUUGAAUAAAACAAAGUAAAUGGCUCCUCAGAAGACAAAGUUCCCAGAAGACAAAGUGGAAGCAAAAUUCGAUUUCUAAGCUUGAAUAAUAUAGCGUUAGUGAGCAUCUAAUUGUGACAGUCAAAGCAGAUAAAAGGAUAGUUUACCAGGGAGUACAUCAUAAGCAAUAAGAUCCUCAUAAGAUAAAAUUCACUCAACUCUCGAAUAUUUAGGUUGAUUGUUUACACUCAAAGCACAAUAUGUAAAUUAACAUGCACAAAAAGAUCAAAAUGACUUUUAUUUGGUUGUAACUUGGUCAGGGUACGGGUGAGAUAAAUCAUAAGGGGUACUAGGCUAAAAUUCAAAGGGUCAAAAGAAAAUUGAAAAUAGACGCGGGAGUUGAACUAAAUAUAUUCCAUUCACUUUCAAACAACACUUUUCCAUUUUCUCUUUUCUCUUUUCUCUUUUUCUUUUUAUUUACUUUUUUUUCUUUCAGAAGGAAUACAAUAAGGACGAGAGUUUUCUUCCUUCUUUCUUUUCUUAUUUUUUUAAUGCNGUGAUUAUAAAAUCAACUAAAACGAGUUAAUUUACUUCUUGAAUUUCCAAAUUAUCACCGCGUAAUUAAAAAUUUCAAAACCUCUAAGCGAAUUCUAAUCCCCUUUCAAUUACAAAUCAAUUAACAAUGCCGAAAUUGACACUAUGAAUUUACACUUCUAUUAUUGAAUGAAGCAAACAGAUUCAAACACGCACGAAUUAAGCAAAUGUGAAUUCAACAUACACAAUUUUUGACGGUUUUUUAAAGCAAUAUUUAAAACCGAUACAAAUCAAGCGAACAUUAAACUAAUCGGAAUAAAUUCAAUAUGAAUAUAUAUAAUUUCGAAUUUAAGCAUAUAAAAUAUAUAGAAGAAUAUUGAAAGGAAAAGAGGAAUUUGCCGAUUGAAAAUAUAAAACCUCAAAGUAUUGGAGGGGGGAUGGAAACAUGAAUCAAUAGGUCAAUGCCUUGGUGAUUAGUUCUCCAUGCAAGUAUCGUGAAAAUUCAUAAUAAUACUAAUUAGGCAGAUAAUUUUAUCCAGUAUAACAAAAGCGUAUAAUUCGGAACCUUAUGGAAAACCGACCCAAAAAAAUUACAAAAAAAGGCUCAAACUAACUAUUUUAAUUAAAGUUUGGAACUUCAAUGAAUUAUUCGACUUUCCUUCACUCUUGAAUCAUCUUUUACUUCAACAAGAAACUUGUAGCAAUUUUCUGUUAACUUUCCAACACAUACCAGAAACGUGUCAAUCUAAAUUCUGAAGCUUCAAGUUAUGAUAAGCAUAGUUGAAAAGGGUACCAAAAUAAUUAUUAACUGAAAAUAAAGUAAAAAAAAAUAAAAUUAAAGUCAGAAAUAAAACUUAAAUAUAAAAAACACGCUAAAAUAAUUAAAAACAAAUAGAGUAAAUAUAGAUUGCCUAAGUGUAAUACUAGAAAAGUGCAUCAAAAUGCCCACUGCAUCAAAAUUUCCCCCACACUUUGAACUUUUGCACUCCGAGCAAAUUAUAAAGUCAAAACAGAGUUAUGCAAUUCCAAAAGUUCUCAGUAAGACAAAGUUGGAGGGGGGGACAGCAAAAAAAUUCUAUUUCUAAGCUUCAAUAAUAAUAGCGUAUAGGAGCAACUAAUUUGUGACAGUCACAAAACCAAUAAAGAUAGUUUACCAGGCGAGUACUUCAAAGCAAAUAAGAAUCCUCAUAAGAUAAAAAAUGUCACUCAAUCUGCGAGUAUUUAGGUUGAUUGUUUACCACUCACAGCCACAAACAUGAAAAAUUAACAUGACACAAAAAGAUCAAAUACGUUUAUUGUUGUAAACUUGCUCAGGGUACGGUGAGAUAAAUCCUAAGUCGGGUUACAGGCUAAAAUUCAAUAGCGUAAAAAGAAAAUUGAAAAAUAGCACGCGGAGUCUGAACUAAAUAUAUUCCAAUUCACUUUCAAACAACACGUUUUCCAUUUUAUCUUUGCUUCUUUUCUCUUUUUCUUUCUUAUUUACUUUUUUUUCUUUCAGAAGAGAUACAGAUAAGACGAGAGUUUUCUUCCUUCUUUCUUUCUUAUUUUUUAAUGCCAAACCUUGAAACAUUCACAGCUAUAUAAAUGAUUAUUCAAACCCCCACACAACUCCAACAAGCUCUUUUAACCUUUAAAUAAGAGAGAAAUUUUUGUUCAUCUUUAUGACUUAAAUGAGUUUAAAUAAAGAAUGAUAUAAAUAGACUCAAUGGGAUUUACAAAAAGGGAUGAUAUCAUUCAUAGUUGCCUUUUUGGCUAAGUGGCUAAAAGUAAAACAAAAAACAAGUUGUCUUUAUCAUAUCAGUGUGCACAAGUAAUCAACAGUUUUAAAAAGAGUCAAUUCAAGUUUUAAGGACUAACAGACAUGAAUGAAUCACACAAGAAAGAAUGAGAUGGAUUUUUUUAUUGUUAUCCAUCAAAAGGCUCAAAAUAUCACAAGUUAUUGAUCUACCAAAAUUGAUGCACAAUUAAGCAUUUUUUAGUCUUACUUAUCAUACUAAGAACAUAAAAAAAUCAAUCACUUCACACCAUAAUUCUUUAAUCAAUAGACAGAGAAAAUACUCAUAAUUGUAACUCAAAAACCAAAGAAAAAGCAUGCAUUUAUUUUAUUUUUUUAUGCUAAGAAAAACAAACAAAAACAAGAACUGAAUAAAACAAAGUAAAUGGCUCCUCAGAAGACAAAGUGGAAGCAAAAUUCUAUUUCUAAGUUGAAUAUAUUAGCGUUAGUGAGCAACUAAUUGUGACAGUCAAAGCAGAUAAAAGGAUAGUUUACCAGGAGUACAUCAUAAGCAAUAAGAUCCUCAUAGAUAAAAUUCACUCAACUCUCGAGUAUUUAGGUUGAUUGUUUACACUCACAGCACAACAUGAAAAUUAACAUGCACUAAAAGAUCAAAAUGACUUUUAUUUGGUUGUAACUUGGUCAGGGUACGGGUGAGAUAAAUCCUAAGCGGGUACUAGGCUAAAAUUCAAAGGGUCAAAAAGAAAAUGAAAAUAGACGCGGAGUUGAACAAAAUAUAUUCCAUCACUUUCAAACAACACUUUCCAUUUUCUCUUUUCCUCUUUCUCUCUUUUUCUUUAUUUACUUUUUUUCUUCAGAAGGAAUACAAUAAGGACGAGAGUUUCUUCCUUCUUUCUUUUCUUAUUUUUUAAUGCCAAACCUUGAAACAUCACAGCUAUUAUAAUGCUUAUUCAACCCCCACACAACUCCAACAACAAGCUCUUUAACCCUUUAAUAAGGAGAUAAAUUUUUUUCCACUUUAUGACUUGUAAUGAGUUUAAAUAAAGAAUGAUAUAAUAGACUCAUGAUUUUAAAAAAAAGGAUUUGAUAUCAUUCAUAGUUGCCUUUUUGGCUAAGUGGCUAAAAGUAAAACAAAAACAAGUUGUCUUUAUCAUAUCAGUGUGCACAAGUAAUCAACAGUUUUAAAAAGAGUCAAUUCAAGUUUAAGAACUAACAGACAUGAAUGAAAUCACACCAGAAAAGAAUGAGAUGGAUUUUUUUAUUGUUAUCCAUCAAAGGCUCAAAAUAUCACAAGGUUAUUGAUCUACCACAAUUGAUGCACAAUUAAGCAUUUAGUCUUACUUAUCAUACUAAGACAUAAAAAAAUCAAUCACUUCACACCAAAUUCUUUUAAUCAAUAGAACAGAGAAAAUACUCAUUAAUUGUAACUCAAAAACCAAAGAAAAAGCAUGCAUUUAUUUUAUUUUUUUUUAUGUAAGAAAACAAACAAAAACAAAGAAACUGAAUAAAACAAAGUAAAUGGCUCCUCAGAAGACAAAGUGGAAGCAAAAUUCUAUUUCUAAGCUGAAUAAUAUAGCGUUAGUGAGCAACUAAUUGUGACAGGCAAAGCAGAUAAAAGGAUAGUUUACCAGGAGUACAUCAUAAGCAAUAAGAUCCUCAUAAGAUAAAAUUCACUCAACUCUCGAGUAUUUAGGUUGAUUGUUUACACUCACAGCACAACAUGAAAAUUAACAUGCACAAAGAUCAAAAUGACUUUUAUUUGGUUGUACUUUGGUCAGGGUACGGGUGAGAUAAAUCCUAAGGGUACUAGGCUAAAUUCAAAGGGUCAAAGAAAAUUAAAAGACGCGGGAGUUGAACUAAACAUAUUCCAUUCACUUUCAAACAACACUUUUCCAUUUUCUCUUUUCUCU